UCCUACGGGAGGCAGCAGUAGGGAAUCUUCCGCAAUGGACGAAAGUCUGACGGAGCAACGCCGCGUGAGUGAUGAAGGCUUUCGGGUCGUAAAACUCUGUUGUUAGGGAAGAACAAGUGCUAGUUGAAUAAGCUGGCACCUUGACGGUACCUAACCAGAAAGCCACGGCUAACUACGUGCCAGCAGCCGCGGUAAUACGUAGGUGGCAAGCGUUAUCCGGAAUUAUUGGGCGUAAAGCGCGCGCAGGUGGUUUCUUAAGUCUGAUGUGAAAGCCCACGGCUCAACCGUGGAGGGUCAUUGGAAACUGGGAGACUUGAGUGCAGAAGAGGAAAGUGGAAUUCCAUGUGUAGCGGUGAAAUGCGUAGAGAUAUGGAGGAACACCAGUGGCGAAGGCGACUUUCUGGUCUGUAACUGACACUGAGGCGCGAAAGCGUGGGGAGCAAACAGGAUUAGAUACCCUGGUAGUCCACGCCGUAAACGAUGAGUGCUAAGUGUUAGAGGGUUUCCGCCCUUUAGUGCUGAAGUUAACGCAUUAAGCACUCCGCCUGGGGAGUACGGCCGCAAGGCUGAAACUCAAAUGAA
rnacentral:rRNA from 1 species